rnacentral:rRNA from 1 species
AUACGGAAGGUCCGGGCGUUAUCCGGAUUUAUUGGGUUUAAAGGGAGCGCAGGCGGAGAUGCAAGCGUGACGUCAAAUUUCGGGGCUCAACCCCGUCUCGCGUCGCGAACUGCGUCCCUUGGUUGCGGGAAGGGGAGGCGGAACUCGUGGUGUAGCGGUGAAAUGCAUAGAUAUCACGAAGAACUCCGAUCGCGAAGGCAGCCUUCCGGCCCGUCAACGACGCUCAUGCUCGAAGGUGCGGGUAUCAAACAGAAUUAGAUACCCUGGUAGUCCGCACAGUAAACGAUGGACACCCGCGGUUUGGCCUAUAUGGCUGAGCCGCCAAGCGAAAGCGUUAAGUGUCCCACCUGGGGAGUACGCCGGCAACGGUGAAACUCAAAGGAAUUGACGGGG